rnacentral:lncRNA from 1 species
AACCUCAAACUGCCACCUUCUGAAACCCUCUUGUGCUAAAAACUAGAUAUCUCUAAACCACGCCAUUAGAAUAUCACAAAAUUUUGUAUACACUUAGUACACUCAAUAAUCCAAAAAAUAUCAAAUUUUCAACUAUAGAUGUCAUGCCAAUUGCACGAACUAGUCAAAAUUGCUAGCCCUAAUUAUAUUAUAUAAAAUCCAAAUCAUUGAUACAAACCCUGACUUUGAACAACAAUUGCUAAAUCCUCCAAAACCCUCUCAAAACAAUUCUUAUGUCUUUGAA